CAGCAUUUCCAGAGCAGUGCCUGAGAAUCGACAGCUUCAACGGAUGUCUAUAAGAUAUCUAAGCAGAACUAGUGUUCUAUAUUACAGUUUGCUUUUGAGUGGGCAUAUCCCACACAUCACUCUCCAAAUCCCACACCAGAAACUCAAGAGCUCAUCAGACCUUCCUUGGAAGUGUGACUGCUGCUGGUCAAAGUUCAGGCAGAAAAGAGAGUCUUGAAAGGGACAUUAUGGAUGAUUGAUUGACUGAUUGUCCCUCUGGUGUUUGAUGUUUAUGUUCCAGAGAUUAACCCAUCACCCCUGCCUCAGGGGCAUGAGCUGGUCAGCUGCCACCCUCCUUGUCAGCUGCAGUCAAGUGUGCAGGCAGAAGGAGCAGCCCUGUCUGGGACAUUGCUGGGCUUGUGGCAGAAGGAAAAGACAAUGGAACCACACCAUGACUCCUGGAUUACGUGGGUUGCACUUCCACUCACGUUUUAUUGGCUAAAGCAAGUCACAUGGUUAAGUCUGGCAUGAAUGGGCUCCAGGCCGAGAGCACCGUGCUCUUCAGCUCCAUCUCGCGUAGGGAAACGCUGACUGCACCCUCGGCGGCGCCCAAGGGCAGCGUCCAUCCCAGCGGAAAACAUGAAAAGCCGGUAACGUUACUUAGGCAUUAACGCUAAAUGAAGUAUUGAUUUCCUGCAGAUUAAGAAUUGGAGUGUCUGUGCAGGAGCAGACAUUUUUCGGUUCAUGGGAACCCUAGGAAAGCAUGUAUAUUGAUAAAUUCAACUGAAUCUGGAAAAAAUUAUACUCCAUUUCAUUAACACUGGCAUGUUUAGAAUGAAAUUCCCAUUGACCCGAGAUUCCCGGUUAAAUACUUCAAAAGAGCCAAGUAAGGACACCCUCUGAGCAGCAGCGUGUAAUUAAUACCCUCACGAGAUCCUACGGCAGAGUAUCUUUUCGAAACGUCAUAGAGCCCCAAGGAGAACUCCCGGAGACGGUGUGGAAGGCAGUUCGGGGAUGGGGUGGGUAAGUCCCCUCCUCGACGAGGAUGACUCGGGCCAACUGGAGUCGUUUCCGUGCUCUCCUCGUCCGCCUCGUCCGUGCCGCCGCGGGCAGCCCCUCCCCGUGGCCCGGGCGCGCCCGGGAAACCCGGCCCUCCUGAGAAACGCGCGGGCCGGGACGCCCACCUUUCGCUUAUUAUUACAGAUGUGCUUGCUGUCAAGCCUUUAUGAUCCUUAAGCGUGUCGCUACACGUAGUUCGGGCUCCCUCCGACCGGGGCCGAGCGAACCCGAGGCUCCGGCGGGCCCGGCCGGGGCGGGGCGUCUUGGAGGCCUCGGGCUGCGCCCCAGCCGCGGGCGGGAGGCGG